rnacentral:lncRNA from 1 species
AGCAGAGAAUACUUAGAUCAAGCAUCACAUGACACAACACAACUUCGCCAGUCUCCAAAUUGUCAGCUUUAUAUAAUAGCCCGCAACUCACAAGUAACAACCACAAGAUGCAAGACACACAACAUACUCGGCUCGUUUUUGUUUGCAAGGCUUAUUCCGAUAUAUUAAAUUAUUAGUAGACUGUAGAGUCAUCAACUCACCUAAAGGCUAAAACCACAUGCUUAAUAACAAAUAAAUCUAUUUUAUAUGGGGUUUUCAAUUACUUUCUUAAUUAUAUCCCAAAGACAUGAUUUAUGAAAUGUAUACUAUUUUAAAGACCCACACCAAAUACCGAGUUAACCCACUAUAAAACGCAAAGUUGUCUCUG